AAGGAAUUGACGGAAGGGCACCACCAGGAGUGGAAUCUGCGGCUUAAUUUGACCCAACGCGGGAAAACUCACCAGGUCAGGACACGGUAAGGAUUGACGGACUGAAGGCUCUUUCUCGAUUCCGUGGAAAGUGGUGCAUGGCCGUUUUUGGUUGGUGGAUCGAUCCGUCUGGUUAAUUCCGUUAACGAACGAGACCUCGGCACUCCGAAUAGCGCGGCGGACGUCGCGGCCUCCGGGGCCGUCUUCCGCACGAGCUUCUUAGAGGGACCGUCCCCCGCCGGGGAAGGAGGUGCGAGGCAACGACAGGUCUGUGAUGCCCUUAGAUGUUCUGGGCCGCACGCGCAUUACACUGACGCGUCCAACGGGUGACUCCCGACCCGAAGGGGCCGGGGAAUCCGCAAGGCGCGUCGUGAUGGGGAUUGAACGUUGCAAUUGUUGUUCACGAACGAGGAAUUCCUAGUAGGCGCGGGUCAUCAACCCGCGCCGAUUACGUCCCUGCCCUUUGUACACACCGCCCGU
rnacentral:rRNA from 1 species